rnacentral:rRNA from 1 species
CACGUAGGGGGCAAGCGUUGUCCGGAUUUAUUGGGCGUAAAGAGCUCGUAGGCGGUUCGGUAAGUCGGGUGUGAAACCUCCAGGCUCAACCUGGAGACGCCACCUGAUACUGCUGUGACUCGAGUCCGGUAGGGGAGCGUGGAAUUCCUGGUGUAGCGGUGAAAUGCGCAGAUAUCAGGAGGAACACCGGUGGCGAAGGCGGGUCUCUGGGCAGUAACUGACGCUGAGGAGCGAAAGCGUGGGGAGCGAACAGG